UACGUAGGCAGCAAGCGUUGUUCGGAGUUACUGGGCGUAAAGGGUGUGUAGGCGGUUGUUUUAAGUUUGGUGUGAAAUCUCCCGGCUCAACUGGGAGGGUGCGCCGAAUACUGACUGACUUGGAGUGCGGGAGAGGUGAGUGGAAUUCCUGGUGUAGCGGUGAAAUGCGUAGAUAUCAGGAGGAACACCGGUGGUGUAGACGGCUCACUGGACCGUAACUGACGCUGAGACACGAAAGCGUGGGUAGCAAACAGG
rnacentral:rRNA from 1 species